ensembl:snRNA U6 U6 spliceosomal RNA
UUGCUUCAACAGCACAUAUAUUAAAAUUGGAAUGAUACAGAGAAGGUUAGCAUGCCCCCUGCACAAAGAUGACAUGCAAAUUCAUGAAGCAUUUUACACACAC